rnacentral:tRNA from 2 species
GGAGGGCAGGGCGUAGCGGUACGCAACCAGGUUUGAACCCUGGCCCAUCGGGGCGAUCCCCGGUGACGGUUCGACUCCGUUGCCCUCCUCCA